rnacentral:rRNA from 1 species
UACGUAGGGGGCUAGCGUUGUCCGGAUUUAUUGGGCGUAAAGAGCGUGUAGGCGGCCAGGUAGGUCUGCUGUGAAAACUCGAGGCUCAACCUCGAGACGUCGGCGGAAACCAUCUGGCUAGAGUCCGGAAGAGGAGAGUGGAAUUCCUGGUGUAGCGGUGAAAUGCGCAGAUAUCAGGAGGAACACCUGUGGUGUAGACAGCUUACUGGACCAUCACUGACGCUGAGACACGAAAGCGUGGGUAGCAAACAGG